AGCACAAGAACAAGAGAUCUAACAGAAUCCAUAUUGUGUGCCAUCAGUGACAAUACAUCUCAAAUAAAAGAAAGCUAUUCAGCAGGAACAACUAUGAGAGCUGCAACAUCUCUUGAUUAAGCCUGAGGAAGGUAUAAAUAAUGUUGAUGAUGAUGUAGACCAUGAUAACAAAAGUCCAGUAACUGUCACCAGAGGGAAAUAUGCCACUAUAAUUGGGCUGAUGUGCACCCACAGGUAUUGAAAACAAUUACCCCACUGAGCAAAGCACCCACUGCCUAGCAGUCUCCCAUAUCACUUGAGGCCAUAUAUGCAGCUUCUUAAAGAAAGGAGAAAAUGGCCUAACAACAACUUCUGCAUUUCUAUUUUAAAUUAAUGUAAAAGGUAAACAGGACAAACCAUAGCACCUUUAGUGCAAUAGCAUUUUGUCCUACUAUUUUCCUCCUUCUCCAUAACUCAGAAGCCCCCACUGUGCACUUACGACUCACCAAGCAAACCUUGUGCUUUCUGUAAGGUGAAGCACUUAUGUACCAUGGUAUUUUUUAAAUUUUAUAAGGGACUUGAGAUUUUUAAAGCUUUUAUUAGGGUUUUAGAAGAGUAUUCCUUACUAGACUAUACAGGUGUUGUGUUUCACCCAAUUAAAUUUUUCCCAGAAGGCUCAUCAUUUUUAUUGCAUGAAAUUCUACAUUACAUUUAUUUUUUAGAAAGAUGUAUAUGGCACUGUAGGAGAAACAACUAUAUUAUCUCAUUUAAUCCUCAUCUUACCCCACUUUACAAGAGAAAACAUUGGGUAUGGUUUUCAUUGAACAUCAAAAUCUCAUAUCUUGUACAUAUUCUCCCAAACUGUGUUCCCCGUCUUUCUUCUAAUGUAAUGUUAGCUGAGUUUCUCCACCAUUCAAAAGCCUUUUCCUAGAACAUCGUGAUGAGAGAAAUCACAAAGCGGUAGCUCCCAGCCCUGCUAAAAGGAGGAAACGUGCUUGGCAUCCAAAUGGAAACUGGUUUCUAGUACUUAGGUCAAAAGUUCAUGUACACACACACACACACACACACACACACACACAGAGCGUUCUCAAGAGAAGUUCUUAAGGCCAAAAGAAAAAACAGAGAGACUACCAACACAUAGAUCCUAGAGUGAAAAAAUCCAACUGGCAAUCUGAACUAAUGUAGGCAGUUUCCCCAAAGCGACUGAUAACUAUUGAGUUACUUUCCCCAGGGUCAGCUGCAGAGAAGGAAUUAGAAAGACCAAGUUGGGGCCCUUCUCUACUCCUUUUAAAUACCGCGUUUCUGUUGCUUGGAACUUUCAUAUUUCUGCAUCAGACUGUUCUCCUUGCUAUAUUUCACACUCCCUCUGGCUUCACAUCAGAAGAACAAGGUCAGUAUUUGUUUGUAAUGGAAUAGGGGUGUGAUGGUGAAUAAUACAGAUGUAUAUUUUACUUGGAACAAAUGCAGUUCACCUUUCUUCUCUGAGUAAACUGAGAUCUUGAGAGAGGCUGCACUGCAUAAGCCUUCAAAAGGAGGCCCUCCUUGGGUAUUCCAAACAUUUUAUCAAGCCACAAGAUCCUCUUGUUUCAAGCAAGAAGCACCUUCUUGGCAUGGCUCCAUACCCUUUCAUGGUGAGAGGUGACAGCGUGCUGGCAGUCCUCAGAGCCCUCGCUUGCUCUCGGCGCCUCCUCUGCCUGGGUUCCCACUUUGGCGGCACUUGAGGAGCCCUUCGGCCCGCUGCUGCACUGUGAGAGCCCCUUUCUGGGCUGGCCAAGGCCAGAGCCGGCUCCCUCAGCUUGCAGGGAGGUGUGGAGGGAGAGGCGCCAGCGGGAACCGGGGCUGCGCGCAGCGCUUGCGGGCUAGCUGGAGUUCCGGG
rnacentral:lncRNA from 10 species